rnacentral:rRNA from 1 species
GACGAACGCUGGCGGCGUGCUUAACACAUGCAAGUCGAACGGAAAGGCCCUGCUUUUGUGGGGUGCUCGAGUGGCGAACGGGUGCGUAACACGUGAGUAACCUGCCCUUGACUUUGGGAUAACUUCAGGAAACUGGGGCUAAUACCGGAUAGGAGCUCCUGCUGCAUGGUGGGGGUUGGAAAGUCUCGGCGGUUGGGGAUGGACUCGCGGCUUAUCAGCUUGUUGGUGGGGUAGUGGCUUACCAAGGCUUUGACGGGUAGCCGGCCUGAGAGGGUGACCGGCCACAUUGGGACUGAGAUACGGCCCAGACUCCUACGGGAGGCAGCAGUGGGGAAUAUUGCACAAUGGGCGGAAGCCUGAUGCAGCAACGCCGCGUGCGGGAUGACGGCCUUCGGGUUGUAAACCGCUUUCGCCUGUGACGAAGCGUGAGUGACGGUAAUGGGUAAAGAAGCACCGGCUAACUACGUG